rnacentral:snoRNA from 1 species
AAUCCAUGGUGAGGGCAGUCACAUUUAUACUCCUUAAAACGCGCACAGGCUACAUAAAAAGGUUCAGUCAGUCCUUGCUGAAAACUUGAGAUCUUGGUUCU